GAUGAACGCUAGCUACAGGCUUAACACAUGCAAGUCGAGGGGCAGCGCAGUGUAGCAAUACAUGGGCGGCGACCGGCGCACGGGUGCGUAACGCGUAUCCAACCUUCCCGUUACUCAGGGAUAGCCUUCCGAAAGGGAGAUUAAUACCUGAUGGUGUUGAAAUUCCGCAUGUUAUUUCAACUAAAGAUUAAUCGGUAACGGAUGGGGAUGCGUGACAUUAGAUAGUAGGCGGGGUAACGGCCCACCUAGUCUACGAUGUCUAGGGGUUCUGAGAGGAAGGUCCCCCCACACUGGAACUGAGACACGGUCCAGACUCCUACGGGAGGCAGCAGUGAGGAAUAUUGGUCAAUGGUCGGAAGACUGAACCAGCCAAGUAGCGUGAAGGAUGAAGGUUCUAUGGAUUGUAAACUUCUUUUGCGAGGGAGCAAUAAGGUCUACGAGUAGACUGAUGAGAGUACCUCGCGAAUAAGCAUCGGCUAACUCCGUGCCAGCAGCCG
rnacentral:rRNA from 1 species